rnacentral:rRNA from 1 species
UUCGGAUUGUAGUCUGCAACCCGGCUACAUGAAGCUGGAAUCGCUAGUAAUCGCGGAUCAGAAUGCCGCGGUGAAUACGUUCCCGGGUCUUGUACACACCGCCCGUCACACCAUGGGAGCCGGAAAUGCCCGAAGUCAGUGACCCAACCGCAAGGAGGGAGCUGCCGAAGGUGGAGCUGGUAACUGGGGUGAAGUCGUAACAAGGUAAC